rnacentral:lncRNA from 1 species
GGAAGUGCCAGCCCAGAAGGAAGUAGAGGCAAUGCCUCGUGGCCCAAGGCAGGAUGAUGGACAGAACAGGGGGACCCAGGACGACCCACUCAUUCCAUCAGCAGCGUUUGUCGAAUGUCUACCACAUCCCAGAAGCGCUGCCAGCUACUUCCCUCGGGAUACAACAGGGAACAAACAGACAACAAGCCCUGUCUUCAUGGGAUUGAGUCUGAUGAGGAAGGAGACUGUCAACAAGACCAAGAGUAAAUCACUGAGGAUGGUAAUGAGCGCUACGGGGUGCGGGUGGGGGGGCGGACAGGAAAGGGGGAUGGAGAGGUUGGUGGGCAAGCCUGGAGGAGGUGAUACAGGACAGACUUGGAUAAAGGGAGGCAGCAGAGCUCCCAGGUCUGGGGAAGACCGUGUCAGACAAGGGAACAGCAAGUGCAAAGGUCCUGGGGUGCGAGCCUUUUCUGGGUCUCCCAGCCCCUUUGUUGGGCUGCUCCCUUGCAUGUUAUUCUCCCUUAAAUAUCAUCCUUGAAACUCUCAUCAGGUGUCUCUGGAUCUCCUUGUCCCCCGGGCUGCGCUCCCAAGUGUCCCUCCUAGUCUCCCUCAAGGAUCUGGGGGUUCUGUUCCCCCUAGAGGCGCCUUCUCCCCUGGAACCUGAGGCUUCUGGCUGGCACAGGUGCCCUUCCACUCUGUCUGGCAGUGCUGUGGUGGCCCUGGGGACAAGGUUCAGAGGAAGUUCCCAUGGGAGGGAUAGGGCAAUAGCUAGAAACCUUCUCCUUAGAGCUAGAAACAAAAGGUC